rnacentral:rRNA from 1 species
GAUGAACGCUGGCGGCGUGCCUAAUACAUGCAAGUCGAGCGAACGGACGAGAAGCUUGCUUCUCUGAUGUUAGCGGCGGACGGGUGAGUAACACGUGGAUAACCUACCUAUAAGACUGGGAUAACUUCGGGAAACCGGAGCUAAUACCGGAUGAUAUUUUGAACCGCAUGGUUCAAAAGUGAAAGACGGUCUUGCUGUCACUUAUAGAUGGAUUCGCGCUGCAUUAGCUAGUUGGUAAGGUAACGGCUUACCAAGGCAACGAUGCAUAGCCGACCUGAGAGGGUGAUCGGCCACACUAGAACUGAGACACGGUCCAGACUCCUACGGGAGGCAGCAGUAGGGAAUCUUCGGCAAUGGGCGCAAGCCUGACGGAGCCACGCCGCGUGGGUGAUGAAGGUCUUCGGCUCGUAAAACUCUGUUAUUAGGGAAGAACAUAUGUGUAAGUAACUGUGCACAUCUUGACGGUACCUAAACAGAAAGCCACGGCUAACUACGUG